rnacentral:rRNA from 1 species
GGGAUUGCCCUAGUAACGGCGAGUGAAGCGGCAACAGCUCAAAUUUGAAAUCUGGCUCUAGGCCCGAGUUGUAAUUUGCAGAGGAUGCUUUUGGCGAAGUGCUUACCGAGUCCCCUGGAAUGGGGCGCCACAGAGGGUGAGAGCCCCGUAUGGUUUGCCACUGAACCUUUGUAAAGCUCCUUCGACGAGUCGAGUAGUUUGGGAAUGCUGCUCUAAAUGGGAGGUAAAUUUCUUCUAAAGCUAAAUACCGGCCAGAGACCGAUAGCGCACAAGUAGAGUGAUCGAAAGAUGAAAAGCACUUUGAAAAGAGGGUUAAAUAGCACGUGAAAUUGUUGAAAGGGAAGCGCUCGUGACCAGACUUGCGCCCGGCGGAUCAUCCAGCGUUCUCGCUGGUGCACUCCGCCGGGCUCAGGCCAGCAUCGGUUUUCGCCGGGGGACAAAGGCUUCGGGAACGUAGCUCUCUUCGGGGAGUGUUAUAGCCCGUUGCGUAAUACCCCGGCGGGGACCGAGGACCGCGCUUCGGCAAGGAUGCUGGCGUAAUGGUCAUCAGCGACCCGUCUUGAAACACGGACCGAGGAGUCAAGCAUUAGUGCGAGUGUUUGGGUGUAAAACCCGCACGCGUAAUGAAAGUGAACGUAGGUGAGAGCUUCGGCGCAUCAUCGACCGAUCCUGAUGUUUUCGGAUGGAUUUGAGUAGGAGCAUUAACGCUUGGACCCGAAAGAUGGUGAACUAUACUUGAAUAGGGUGAAGCCAGAGGAAACUCUGGUGGAGGCUCGCAGCGGUUCUGACGUGCAAAUCGAUCGUCAAAUUUG